GAACCUGCGGAAGGAUCAUUAUU
rnacentral:rRNA from 1 species